UGCGUAGGUGGUUUCUUAAGUCAGAGGUGAAAGGCUGGGGCUCAACCGUAGUAAGCCUUUGAAACUGGGAAACUUGAGUGCAGGAGAGGAGAGUGGAAUUCCUAGUGUAGCGGUGAAAUGCGUAGAUAUUAGGAGGAACACCAGUUGCGAAGGCGGCUCUCUGGACUGUAACUGACACUGAGGCACGAAAGCGUGGGGAGCAAACA
rnacentral:rRNA from 1 species